rnacentral:rRNA from 1 species
UACGGAGGGUGCGAGCGUUGUCCGGAAUCACUGGGCGUAAAGGGCGCGUAGGUGGCGCGGGCAGUCAACGGUGAAAGUUCGGGGCUCAACCCUGAAUCGGCCGUCGAUACUCCCGGGCUUGAGCACUGUAGAGGCUAAUGGAAUUCCGGGUGUAGCGGUGGAAUGCGUAGAGAUCCGGAAGAACACCGGUGGCGAAGGCGGUUAGCUGGACAGUUGCUGACACUGAGGCGCGACAGCGUGGGGAGCAAACAGG